CCCCGCCCACCCGUGCGCUGCGCGCGCUGAACCCGCCUCCCCCGCAUGUCUGUGACGUCAUCAGGCUGUGCCCGUUCUUUCCGCCAUGGCCGCGGCGGCAGCAGGCGUCCUGCUCCGAGCUUCCAGAAGGCUUCAGGAAGCCACCAGGAAGAGGGAAAUGGAUUCAAGGGACCUGCCGCCGUAAUUAGCCCAGUUCUGGUUAAUUAUGGCUACCAAGGCCUCGGCCCCUCAUCUCGCAGGGCUGAAUUUCGUGGGAAUGCCGUGACCUGAGACAUGGAGCUCCAUGGCAGGGUUUAUCUGCAGACACCUCCUGCCCAGGCUCCCUCCGUGGUGAUCCAGAGCAAAUCAGUGAUCCACCGGGCAGGAGAAAGUGGUUGCAACGCUGCUGUCACUGUAAUUAACCCAGUUCUGGCUAAUUAACGCUGCCAGCUCGAGGUGUGUGCUGGGUGUCCCUGCCGAGGCCUGCGCUCAUCCCGCCCUUCCCGGGCCAGGGAUUCUCCAGUGCCUGUGGAUGGCAGGAGAAGCUGGAGCAGCGUGGCACAGUCCCUGUGGAACAGCGAGGAGGACACAGCAACACCACAAUCAGGGAAUUAAACAUGAACCCAUGGCUUUGCCGUGUUUUGAUUCCAAA